AUAGUUUGACAAGGCUUUGGUGGAGGUUGUUGUGUUAGUAUUUCCAUGGGUAGUGUUAUGAGCCUGGUGAUAGUUUGACAAGGCUUUGGUGGAGGUUGUUGUGUUAGUAUUUCCAUGGGUAGUGUUAUGAGCCUGGUGAUAGUUUGACAAGGCUUUGGUGGAGGUUGUUGUGUUAGUAUUGCCAUGGGUAGUGUUAUGAGCCUGGUGAUAGUUUGACAAGGCUUUGGUGGAGGUUGUUGUGUUAGUAUUUCCAUGGGUAGUGUUAUGAGCCUGGUGAUAGUUUGACAAGGCUUUGGUGGAGGUUGUUGUGUUAGUAUUUCCAUGGGUAGUGUUAUGAGCCUGGUGAUAGUUUGACAAGGCUUUGGUGGAGGUUGUUGUGUUAGUAUUUCCAUGGGUAGUGUUAUGAGCCUGGUGAUAGUUUGACAAGGCUUUGGUGGAGGUUGUUGUGUUAGUAUUUCCAUGGGUAGUGUUAUGAGCCUGGUGAUAGUUUGACGAGGCUUUGGUGGAGGUUGUUGUGUUAGUAUUGCCAUGGGUAGUGUUAUGAGCCUGGUGAUAGUUUGACAAGGCUUUGGUGGAGGUUGUUGUGUUAGUAUUUCCAUGGGUAGUGUUAUGAGCCUGGUGAUAGUUUGACAAGGCUUUGGUGGAGGUUGUUGUGUUAGUAUUGCCAUGGGUAGUGUU